CCUACGGGUGGCAGCAGUGAGGAAUAUUGGUCAAUGGACGAGAGUCUGAACCAGCCAAGUAGCGUGAAGGAUGACUGCCCUAUGGGUUGUAAACUUCUUUUAUAUGGGAAUAAAAUGUUCCACGUGUGGGAUUUUGUAUGUACCAUAUGAAUAAGGAUCGGCUAACUCCGUGCCAGCAGCCGCGGUAAUACGGAGGAUCCGAGCGUUAUCCGGAUUUAUUGGGUGUAAAGGGAGCGUAGGUGGAUUGUUAAGUCAGUUGUGAAAGUUUGCGGCUCAACCGUAAAAUUGCAGUUGAAACUGGCAGUCUUGAGUACAGUAGAGGUGAGCGGAAUUCGUGGUGUAGCGGUGAAAUGCUUAGAUAUCACGAAGAACUCCGAUUGCGAAGGCAGUUCACUGGACUGCAACUGACACUGAGGCUCGAAAGUGUGGGUAUCAAACAGGAUUAGAUACCCGGGUAGUC
rnacentral:rRNA from 1 species